rnacentral:misc_RNA from 1 species
UUUUUGACUUGCUUUGCAUGGCAGGCUCCCUGCACUUACGUGCGGCCAACUGUCGUGGGCUGUCUAUUCGUUGUCCCUUUGAUGAGCUUUUCGGCUCUUUAGGGGUGCUCGGUUGGGUUGCCUGUGUGGUAUUACCAUUGUCGGUAGCAUGAUUGUCACGUUGUGGCCUAUUUAGCUUUCCCGGUUGAUGCUGUGCAUCGACGGGGGGCCGAGGUGUUCGCAGAUUCCAUUUGUUGCCAUGUGCUUGUGCCUUGGAAAUGCAUUUGGGAUUAUGUUGGGUCUCACGGAUAUUGUCCCUUCAGUGAGAGGUCUACGGGCUUCAAGCUUGUAGACCUACGAGGUUGCCCGUGCACCAAUCAUCGUUCCCAGUGUUUUGCCGACAUGUCGUGGUUCUUGCGUCAUGCUGGCGGAUAUGCAGGGCAUAUGAUUCUGUGUGCGUGGAUGCCUCUUUGACCGAUUGACACGCGAUUGCUGGUUUGCAUUGUCAUGAGG